rnacentral:rRNA from 1 species
CAAUAGCGUAUAUUAAAGUUGUUGCAGUUAAAAAGCUCGUGGUUGGAUUUCUGGUGGGAGCGAUCGGUCUGGCGCUUAGCGCGAGUACUUGCAUCGUCUCCGGCCAUCCUUGGGGGGAGUCUGUCUGGCAUUAGGUUGUCGGGCAGAGGAUCUUCAUCGUUUACUGUGAAAAAAUUAGAGUGUUCAAAGCAGGCUUAUGCCGUUGAAUAUAUUAGCAUGGAAUAAUAAGAUAGGACUUUGGUACUAUUUUGUUGGUUUGCGCACCAAAGUAAUGAUUAAUAGGGACAGUUGGGGGUAUUCGUAUUCCGUUGUCAGAGGUGAAAUUCUUGGAUUUACGGAAGACAAACUGCUGCGAAAGCGUCUGCCAAGGAUGUUUUCAUUGA